CCCUUGUAUUAAUAUUAUAUUAGGUUAAUAAUAAUAUAUUAAAAUCAAAAAUUUUGGCAGUUAAUUAUAUAUUAGAGGAGCUUGUUAGUGUUAGGAAUUUACUCCUUAAAUUUUAAUAAAUUUAUUGUUUAUUCAUUUCUGUUAUAAGAUAAUGUAAUAAAAGUUUAUUUAAAAUUUCAGGUCAAGAUGUAGCAUUUAUUAUUGAUAAUUAGCUACAAUUAUGUAAUAUUUGGUUAGAGAAUUAUAAAAGUUUUAUAAAUUGAAUUUAGUUGUAAUGGUGUUUAGUAUAAUACUAUGAUUUAAAAAUAAUUAAUGU
rnacentral:rRNA from 1 species